CGCGCGGCCGUCAGUCAGGCUGCGCUCGGCGCCGCGGAGCUCGCUCCUCUCGGGCCCGUCGCCUCCGCCAGGCCCUGCGGGCGGCUAGCAUCCGGCCAGGAUCUAGUUGGAAGCAGUAAGAAGGGUAAAGCAUCAGUCUGAAAGAGUCCCUGUCAGAGCAACAUGAAUUCUGUUAAAAUUGAAAUGAGAAGAAACAUCAAAUUUAUGGUGAAGCUUGGAUGGAAGAAUGAUGAAAUCAUGGAUGCUUUACGAAAAGUUUAUGGGGACAACGCCCCAGAAAAAUCAGCAGUUUACAAGUGGGUAAAUCGUUUUAAGGAGGGACGAGAUGAUGUUGAAGAUGAAAUCCGCAGCAGCACACCAUCCACAUCGAUUUGUGAGGAAAAAAAGUAAUCUCAUUGCUACACUACUUGAAGGGGACCAGCAGAUAACAGCAGAAAGAAGCCAACACCAUCAAAAUCUCAACCCGGAGUGAACAUUUUUAAAGUGGAGCAAAGUUUCCACUGGACAUGUGCCAAAACUCUUUUACCCAGAUCAACCGCAGACAACACCAGAGCAAUCCAUGGAAAUUUUAAACAAAUAGGAUCAAGAUCCUGAAGCAUUUCUUCAAAGAAUUCUAACUGGAGGUAAAACGUGGCUUAACCAAUGUGACCCUAACAACAAAGCACAAUCAAAGCAAUGGCUGUCAAAAGGUAGAAGUAGGUCCAUCCAAACAAAAGUGGAUCAGUCGAGAGUAUUGAAUAUGGAAGUAGCUUCGUGGGACUACUCAAGGUAUUUAGCUUGUUGGUUUUCUGGAGGGCCAAAAAACAGUGAUAUCUGCUUAUGAGGAGAGUGCUUUGAGAAAGUUAGCCAACACUUUAGCAGAAAAACUCCAAGAAAGCUUAACAGAGUCUUUCUCUACCACAACACUGUUCCUGCUCCUUCCUCUCUUCCAACAUGGGCGAUUUCCUGAGAGUUUUGAUGAGAAAUCAUUAGGUACCCACCUUCCGGAAGUAUUUUGGCCUCUCUCCUUUAUGUUUCUUAAAUCUUUAAAGGGAACCCAUUUUUCUUCAGUCACUAGUGUGUGAAAGACUACAUUGAUGAGGUUUAAUUCCCAAGACCCUUUGUUCUUUAAGCAUAGGAUAAAUAGCUAGUAUCGUCACUUACACAUAUCUUGAACUUGAUGUAGCUUAUGUUGAGAAAUAAAAUGUGCACUCUUUAUUUUUCUCUCUUCAUUUCACUUUGCCACAAGCUUUUUGAUAUCCUUAUUCCUGUCACUUGACUUCCUGAAAGUUAAUCCUUUGGUGAGAAGUGACCAUUAGAGUACACUUGGAAAUAAUUGCCAUACAGCCAAAGUACUAAUGUGAUGAUAGGUUUUCAGAAUAUCCCCUUCCGCAGACCCUGCGUUAUCACAUUUACUUGUGUCUCUGUAACGGGCUCUCUUUCUUGGCUUUAUUUGAUGACAGAGAAAAACUACAAUUUGAAUUAAUGGUGUAAAUUCUAUAACUAAUGAACAAUUGCCAUUUCUUCCUAUACUUCACAGGGUCUGUGUAAAAUUGAUGCUUGCCUAACUUACCUUAAAAAUGGCUUCUAUUUGGGGUAGUGUUGUGGCACAGAAGGUUAGGCACCACCUGCGAUGCUGGCAUCCCAUAUGGGUGCUGGUUCAAGUCCCUGCUGCUCCAGCCAAGUUCAUAGGCCCCCCGCCACUCACCUGGGAGACCUGGAUGGAGUCCCAGGCUUCUGGUUUUGGCCUGGCCUAGCCCUAGCCAUUGCAGCCAUUGGGGAAUGAACCAGCAGACGUAAGAUCUCUCUUUUUCUAUCUCUCCCUCUCUCUGUAAGUCUGCCUUUCAAAUAAAUCUUUUUUAAAAAAAAAUUACUUUCAUUUGCAGGAAAUAAAGAUAAUCACUUUUGCUGUGGUUAUAGUCAAAUAUAAACUUCCAGACUUGAGAACCAUGGUGAAAGUGAAGGAGAUCUACUCAAAUUAUUCUGCCUUCGCUAGAAUUGGAAAAAUACUGUAUACGCCAAAUAUGAGUGAUAUAUGCUUGAAUAAAUAGAGGUUAAGUGGUAACUUUUACACAAAGGUAUGACUCUUGAUCAGUCUUGUAUGACCCGCUCCUUAUCCAAAACAAGUAGGCUAUUUCAACUGUUAUUUCUUAUCCUGAAGUUGAAUGUUUCUUCUUGGAUAUGAAUUAAAUAAGUUGAUCUAAAUAAAUUUUCAUUUCCUCUUAAUUAAACGCCAUAUGUAAAAGCCAAA